UACGGAGGGAGCUAACGUUGCUCGGAAUUAUUGGGCGUAAAGCGCACGUAGGCGGUCUGUUAUGUCGGAUGUGAAAGCCCUUGGCUCAACUGAGGAAGUGCAUCCGAAACUGGCAGGCUGGAGUACGUAAGAGGGUCGCGGAAUCCGGUGUAGAGGUGAAAUUCGUAGAUAUCGGGAGGAACACCGGUGGCGAAGGCGGCGACCUGGGACGAUACUGACGCUGAGGUGCGAAGCGUGGGGAGCAAACAGG
rnacentral:rRNA from 1 species